GAGCACCUGCACCGCACACGCACACGAAAUCAGGGAGUGAGCACACGCACCGAGGAGAUCAGUGACGUCACUGGAGUUAGGCGCGGGACAAGAAAAACCUUUGAACACGUGAAACCGAUCACUUUGGUGCGCUCGCGCCACGCUGUGGACACUUCAUUAGGUACACCCACGGCAUCCAAUGACCGCAAAUCUUUGCUUAUUGUUUGACACUGCAUUCAUUAGACAUGCUUUUAUGAUUGUAUUUCAUUAAAUAGAUCAUAUAUUGCUCCUUUCGUUGUUCAUUUUGAAUUUGCAACCCAUUUUUAAUCAUCUAUUUUGGUUUAGUUUGGUUCCCUGUAGCACUUUGAGUUAUUCGUAUGUAAAGUGAAAAACCCAAAAAGUUUUCAAUAGAUUAUUUUUCUGUCCAAUCAGAUUCCAGGUUCUCCGUGUUGUUGCCAUGCCAAUCUAAUCUGUAGUUAGGUCAAUGUAAUGAGCGUCACUAUUCAUGGCUCUGCUUCGCUAACCAAUCACAUCACGGCAGCAUUUUCCUGUCAUCUGAUUGGUUGUCAGAGGAAAAGUUGUUCCAGCCAAACUCGACUAGCGAAACGCAUCGACGCCCAAUCUUUACAUUAACGCAGUUAAAAAUCCGCAUCUCUGGAAGAGGCGCCGCCGGGUCCGGCCGUGGGUUCCCUGUUCGAUUCCUCGUCUCCAACAAGCUGGCAAGCCAGACCAGCUGGCUUUGGGAGGCGCAACGCACAAGUGGUCUGCGUGGCGAGCCCGCUCGGCAGAUGAAGCCCACGGCGAGAGGAGCCCCUCGCCCCUCCCUGCCCAACGCACCCCGCGACCCCCGCCAGUGCCCCCCGCCCUCGGCACGGCCCCUCCCGCUCCCUGAUGAGAAGCUCACCUGUCCCUGUCGCUCCUGCUAAAUUUAGUUGAGGAUUUCGAGGUGGGCGAGGUCAAAGGGCAAUUUUCUUCCUUUGAAGAAAUCGACAUCCAAGUUGUAUCGUCCCCAUGCCAGCAACAACGCGAUUUGCCUCAGGACCGGAGAGGCGGGUAACGAGAACUCCGUCGAUUUCGAACGGCGUGCGGCACAAGAUGAAGGACCGGAGGGCGCGUAAACAGUCGGCACUCGACGGGGGGGCCGCAGGACCGUCGCAACAAGAGCCGAUUUGGAUUGUGAAUGGCCCGCGCGGCCCCCGGUCUCCGGUUCCGCCGCCAGCGUAAACCGAUCCGGACCUCGAAAACCUGGGCCGAGUGAAGCUAUAAACGUCCUCAUCUUCCUUUGUCAUUCGUCUUCUUUUUCUUACCAGCCAAUUGUCAUCGAUUAGGAUGCAAGAAGCCACGCCCCCGACGAGGGCAGUCGGCAAAAAGCGGCCCGCCCGCAAUCUCGACCUCCCCUAAGCUCCGCCGAAUGCCCCACUGAAGGUCAAAGGGCAAGUGUUUUCACAUGCUUGUCCCAGUCGCACUAAUGACUUGACAGCUGCUCCCACACACAAUCAUUGCAUGUUCCACUGUGUACGCUCGUCUUUGUGUCCCAAGUCUGAAGUGUGUGUUUGUGCGUUGCUGUCGGUAUGUAGUGCCCGUGUGCGCGUGUCUAUUUACAUAUUGUGUUUAUGAAUGUGUGAGACUGCGUCUGUGUACGUGUGUAACCACUUUCGUGCAUCUAUGUGCAAUUUGUGUCCGACACCGAGUUUAUAUAUAUGCAUGCGUGUUCUACUGUGUAUAUUUGUGUAACUCUAUGACUGACAAUCUACUUUGUCUGACAACAAGUCGAUGUGUUGAGCACGUGUAGCAUGGUGUGCGAGUGUGUACGUACGUGCGGCGCCGUAUGGAAGACGACGCCUUUUCAGUCCGAUAUGCACGUUUUGCCGUUUGAAUAUUGGUUGUUUCCACGUCGCCAUUUUGCCAGUCGUUUGACAGCAUUUUGAUUGGUUUUUCGAGACUCGCAGACCAGGGGUCUCGUUCGAUGGGUCUCGUCCCUUGUCUGAGACGCACAAAAAUGAGCAGGGACUCAUGACGCAUAUUCAAUCUGCAUCUGUGUGUGUGUGAAUGAAAGAAAAAAAGCAAAUCCAAAGUACUGUCUUGGUGCUAGCCAAUCAGAGGCAGAGUAUGGCAGCUUAUGGUUCCCGAGUAUGGACACGAUACAUUUCCAUUGUUGUGGUAAGACCCUCCACGCCGCAGCAAGCCGCUGGCGGAACGGCGUUUAGCUAACGAGCUAACACGCUACAAGGGCUGGAGCUAAAAAGCUCCCUCGACCGCGUUUGACAUCGUUCAAACGUUAGCGCUCGGAGGUGGUGUGUGUGUGUGUGUGUGUGUAUAUUCCUCGCAUAACACGCACGCCCAUAACCACAGUCGCCCACGUUAACAAUGUUCAGGCAGUUGUUGGCUUUGGCGAACUAAUUUUUUAUUAAGCCUUUAUUUAACCAGGUAAAAGCUUGUUGAUAGAUAAAAUCUCUUUUUUCAAAAGCCAAGAGGCAUCACAAAUUAUAAGGAAGCAGAAUUAUACAGUACACAAAACGACAACAUUCAUACAAUCAACAACAAUAAAGACUAAAAAGUAACAGUGAUAUUCAAAUGUACGACAUCUGAUUUAAAAAUAAAUGCUUUUAAGUGUUUUUUUUUUUUUUAAUUCAUUCAAAUUUGGCAGGCUUUAAGACAUUUUUGAGGCCUCUUUAGUGCGUUAAUGACUCCAUCCAUUUUCUGAGCCGCUCCUCCUCACGCGCGUCGCAGGCGUGCUGAAGCCUAUCCCAGCUAUCA